UUAAAUUCUGAAUAACGAAACGAAUGACAUUAAAUAUGUGGCAGGACACGAUAGUAUUGUUGGAAAAUAUGGAUAUGCAAUUAUAGAAUGCUGUCAAGACAGUUUAUUCGUAGUUCCCAGUUACAUAUAAUGCGAUGUUUUACUCGUAGCAGUAUCACACGAAAAAUUAAUAAAAUGGACAAAGUUCCUCCACAAAAAAACAAUGAAACUAUAAAGAAAGCUGUCAUAGGAACACGUAUGCAUCGAGUAACUGAUUUUGAUAAGAGAGUAUUAGUUUGGGUAAAAAGAUAUCCGAGUAUUGCGGAUGUUCCAAUGGACGUUACAGUGGACUGUAUACUCACUGCAAGAAAUAAAGCACGAAUCAAAGUCUGUAAUUACAUGAUCAUUGCUACUCUGAUUGGUUGUAUAGGCGCUGUAAUACUUGGAAAAAGAGAUGCUUCAGAAGGAAGAAAUUUAGUUAAACAAAGAGAAGAAUGGCUUCAGACACAGAUAGAGAAAGACAAGAAUAAAUAGAAUCAUAAAUACUCGAAGAAUGUAGGAAUCUUUAAGAUAAUUUUUCUAGGAGGCAUAGACAGCUACUAUUUUUGAUGUGUGUAUACUGUAGAGAGUAUACAAUGAGAUAUACAAUGUGAUGGACACCUGAUUCUCAUUAGAUUUAAUAAGCAUUCUAAUUGCUUGUACAAUAGAAAAUAUCUAAAUACAUAUAACACUGCAUUGUUCCGUA
rnacentral:misc_RNA from 1 species